rnacentral:rRNA from 1 species
ACAUGUCUACAACUUAGUGUUAAUGCGUCGUGUCUCAUUAGAACUCUGCAGUUAAGCGUGCUUGACCUAGAGUAGUAUUGGGAUGGGUGACCUCCCAGGAAGUCCUAGUAUUUUACAUGCC